ensembl:lncRNA
CCUACUAGGCUUCUCCAUCCAUGGGAUUUUCUAAGCAAGAAUACAGGAGUGUGUUGCCAUUUUCUUCUCCAGGGAAUCUUCCUGACCCAGCCAGCCACCAUGUCCUGAACCGACUGAAGGGAGACCCACGGGGUAACAGCUGGCACUGAAUCGAGAUCAUCAAUCCUAUUGCCCUUGAGAAACUGAAUCGUACCAACAAUCACGUGGGUUUAAGGAGACAAGAUGCUGGUAUUGAAAACGAGAAGUCUGAGGGCAGGCAUUUAUUGAUGGAGUAAUCCGAACACUAGGAGGUGAGAAAGAAGGGAAAUGCAAGAGAACAUUGAGCCUAAGAGAGGCUGAUGAUAAAAAUGUGGAUUUCAACUAAACCCACCAGGAACAGCUCUGCAAAUGACCUCACCCCACCCCACCCCACCCUCGCCUGCAAAUAAACAUCUUUGCCUCC